ensembl:lncRNA
AUCCCGCCCCCCCCAGGCAAGUCCAACCUGAUGGACGCCAUCAGCUUCGUGCUGGGUGAGAAGACGUCCAACCUGCGUGUGAAGGCGCUGCGCGACCUCAUCCAUGGGGCUCCCGUGGGGAAACCGGCCGCCAACCGGGCCUGCGUCACCAUGGUGUACGCCCAGGACGGCGGCACCGAGCGCACCUUCGCCCGCCUCAUCGUCGGUACGGGGAUUUUGGGGCGAAAUCCGGGGAUUUUGGGCAAAAAUGGGCGGGAUUUGGGGGGGAUUUGGGGUGUAGUAGAGUCAACAGGAGUGUGGAGUGAAGGUCUGAUCUGAGAAGGGCCCUUUCGCUUGUGUCACUGUCAUUGCGUUGGGGACACACGGGGGACAGCCAGGUGUCUGUUUUGGGGCUGGGUUUUGGGGUGAAAUCGGGCGAUUUUGGGCAAAAAUGGGCGGAAUCUGGGGGGAUUUGAGCGUAAGUAGAGUCGGUAGGAGCGUGGGGUGGAGGUCUGAUGUGGGCAGGGCAGCUUCAGUGGUGACACUGUCAUUGUGCUGGGGACACAUUGGGGACAGCCAGGUGUCUGGUUUGGGGUUCGGUUUUGGGGCGAAAUCAGGCGAUUUUGGGCAAAAAUGGGCGGAAUUUGGGGGGAUUUAGGGUGUAGGGGGGUCCGUGGGGGUGUGGGGUGGAGAUGUGGGUUUGUUCGGUUGUGUCGCUGUCAUUGGGUUAGGGACACAUUGGGGACAAAUUCGUAUGACCACAGUGAGCCUCUGGGGCUGGGUUUUGGGGUGAAAUUGGGCAAUUUUGGGCAAAAAUGGGCGGAAUUUGGGGGCUUUGGGGCGUGGGAGAGUCAAUGGGAAAAUGGGGUGGAGGUGUGGGCUCCUGCGGUUGUGUCACUGUGAGCGGAUUGGGGACACAGUGGAGACACAUGGGGGACAACCAAGUGUCCGCUUUGGGGCUGGGUUUUGGGGCAAAAUCGGGCAAUUUUGGGCAAAAAAUGGGUGGAAUUUGGGGGGAUUUGGGGUGUGUGGGUCUCCGUGGGGUUGUGGGGUGGAGGUGUGGGNCCCAUUGUCCUCAUGUCCCCAUUGUCUCCAUGACCCCAAUGUCCCCAUUGUCCCCAUUGACUCCAUUGACCCUCAUUGACCCCCAUUGUCCCCAUUGUCCCCAGUGUCCCCAUUGUCCCCCAGUGUCCCCAUUGACCCCCAUUGUCCCCAGUGUCCCCAUGUCCCCAUUGUCCCCAUGACCCCAAUGUCCCCAUUGUCCCCAUUGUCCCCAUUGACCCCAUUGUCCCCAAUGUCCUCAUUGACCCCAAUGCCCCCCACUGACCCCACUGUCCCCAUUGUCCCCAUGACCCCAUUGUCCCCAUUGUCCCCAUUGUCCCCCAAUGUCCCCAUUGUCUCCAUGUCUCCCCAUUGACCCCCACUGACCCCCAUUGUCCCCAUUGACCCCAUUGUCCCCCAUUGACCCCAUGACCCCAAUGUCCCCAUUGUCCCCAUUGUCCCCAUGUUCCCAUUGUCCCCGUUGUCCCCAUGUCCCCAUUGACUCCAUUGUCCCCGUUGUCCCCAUGUCCCCGUUGUCCCCAUGUCCCCAAUGUCCUCAUUGACUCCAAUGCCCCCCACUGACCCCAGCGUCCCCAUUGACCCCAUGACCCCAAUGUCCCUCAUUGUCCCCAUUGUCCCCCAUUGUCCCUCAGUAUUCAGACCCCAUCCCUCCUGUCCCCGUUGCCAUAGCGACGCUCCGCGUCCUCGUUGCCAUGGCCACGCCCCCACGCCGCGCCGUUCCCACGGCGACGCCCCGCCCUAUGCAAAUAACCCAACGCCUCCCAACCAAUCCCGGCGCGCGGCGGGCGGUCCCCGAAGCUCAGCCAAUCGCCGAGCAGUAGGCGGGACAACCGGAAGCGCGACAGCGGUAUAAACCAAUCAGCGCCGGCGGCGGCCGGAAGUCCGCUGGUCGCUCUCGGCCGCCGUAGCCGCGGAGUUUCCCGCCCUCCGCGUUCCCUCAGCGCGGCAGCGCCGCGGUUUUUUUUCCCCUUUUUUCCCCUUUUUCCCCCCGUUUUUCACCCCCUUUUUGACCCCGUUUGCUCGCCGCCGUCGCUGCCGCCGCCAUGGGCUUCCUCAAGUUGAUCGAGAUCGAGAACUUCAAAUCGUACAAAGGCCGUCAGAUCAUCGGGCCCUUCCGCCGCUUCACCGCCAUCAUCGGCCCCAACGGCUCCGGUGAGGCCGCGGCGACCCCCGCAUCCCAUAAUACCCCGGGAUGAGGCCGCCA